rnacentral:rRNA from 1 species
GACGAACGCUGGCGGCGUGCUUAACACAUGCAAGUCGAACGGAAAGGCCCUGCUUUUGUGGGGUGCUCGAGUGGCGAACGGGUGAGUAACAUGUGAGUAACCUGCCCUUGACUUUGGGAUAACUUCAGGAAACUGGGGCUAAUACCGGAUAGGAGCUCCUGCUGCAUGGUGGGGGUUGGAAAGUUUCGGCGGUUGGGGAUGGACUCGCGGCUUAUCAGCUUGUUGGUGGGGUAGUGGCUUACCAAGGCUUUGAAGGGUAGCCGGCCUGGGAGGGUGACCGGCCACAAUGGGACUGAGGUAAGGCCCAGAGUCCUACGGGAGGCAACAGUGGGGAAUAUUGCACAAUGGGCGGAAGCCUGAUGCAGCAACGCCGCGUGCGGGAUGACGGCCUUCGUGUUGUAAACCGCUUUCGCCUGUGACGAAGCGUGAGUGACGGUAAUGGGUAAAGAAGCACCGGCUAACUACGUG